AUAGUAAAGAACAAAGAGAGUAU
rnacentral:snRNA from 1 species